UACAGGGGGGGCGAGCGUUGUUCGGAAUUACUGAGCGUAAAGGGUUUGUAGGUGGCUUGCUCAGUCAGACGUGAAAUCCCUCAGCUUAACUGGGGAACUGCGUCUGAUACUAGCGAGCUUGAGUGCAGGAGAGGAACGCGGAAUUCCAGGUGUAGCGGUGAAAUGCGUAGAUAUCUGGAGGAACACCGGUGGCGAAGGCGGCGUUCUGGACUGCAACUGACACUGAAAAACGAAAGCCAGGGGAGCAAACGGG
rnacentral:rRNA from 1 species